rnacentral:lncRNA from 13 species
CUCCAAGAUCAUCAAGUCCAGCCUUUGGCCAAAUUACAUCAUGCCCAUUUAAAGCAUAUCAAAGAGUGCCAUGCCUACUUAUUUUUUUAACACUUUCAGGGAUGGUAACUCUACCACUUCCCUGGGGAGCCUGUUCUGAAACUUAACCAGUCUUUUAGUGAAAUUUUUUUCUUAGUUGGUGCCAGAAAGCAUCUACCUGGAAACACUCAGACACUGGUAAUAGUAUAUGGAUCCUGUUGGAGAUAGAGUAUCAUACAAGUAUUGGAUGAAUAGCAAACAGCCUUGCUGCUCUGAGCUGCAGGAGGGCUCACUUUCCCAACCAAAGGAUGCACAGUAUGGGGGUAUGCUCUGCUGA